rnacentral:miRNA from 1 species
UGUGUACUCUGUGUGUGUAUGUAUAUGUAUAUAUAUGUACAUACACACACACACACACACACACACACACACACACACACACACACACA